rnacentral:rRNA from 1 species
CUGCCCUUCAGAGUUUGAUCCUGGCUCAGGACGAACGCUGGCGGCGUGCUUAACACAUGCAAGUCGAACGGUGAAAGAGAAGCUUGCUUCUCUGGAUCAGUGGCGAACGGGUGAGUAACACGUGAGUAACCUGCCCUUGACUCUGGGAUAAGCGUUGGAAACGACGUCUAAUACCGGAUACGAACCGUGGAGGCAUCUCCUGCGGUUGGAAAGAAUUUUGGUCAAGGAUGGACUCGCGGCCUAUCAGGUAGUUGGUGAGGUAACGGCUCACCAAGCCGACGACGGGUAGCCGGCCUGAGAGGGUGACCGGCCACACUGGGACUGAGACACGGCCCAGACUCCUACGGGAGGCAGCAGUGGGGAAUAUUGCACAAUGGGCGAAAGCCUGAUGCAGCAACGCCGCGUGAGGGACGACGGCCUUCGGGUUGUAAACCUCUUUUAGCAGGGAAGAAGCGAAAGUGACGGUACCUGCAGAAAAAGCACCGGCUAACUACGUGCCAGCAGCCGCGGUAAUACGUAGGGCGCAAGCGUUGUCCGGAAUUAUUGGGCGUAAAGAGCUCGUAGGCGGUUUGUCGCGUCUGCUGUGAAAACGCGAGGCUCAACCUCGCGCCUGCAGUGGGUACGGGCAGACUAGAGUGCGGUAGGGGAGAUUGGAAUUCCUGGUGUAGCGGUGGAAUGCGCAGAUAUCAGGAGGAACACCGAUGGCGAAGGCAGAUCUCUGGGCCGUAACUGACGCUGAGGAGCGAAAGCAUGGGGAGCGAACAGGAUUAGAUACCCUGGUAGUCCAUGCCGUAAACGUUGGGAACUAGAUGUGGGGACCAUUCCACGGUCUCCGUGUCGCAGCUAACGCAUUAAGUUCCCCGCCUGGGGAGUACGGCCGCAAGGCUAAAACUCAAAGGAAUUGACGGGGGCCCGCACAAGCGGCGGAGCAUGCGGAUUAAUUCGAUGCAACGCGAAGAACCUUACCAAGGCUUGACAUAUACCGGAAACGUCUGGAAACAGUCGCCCCGCAAGGUCGGUAUACAGGUGGUGCAUGGUUGUCGUCAGCUCGUGUCGUGAGAUGUUGGGUUAAGUCCCGCAACGAGCGCAACCCUCGUUCUAUGUUGCCAGCACGUAAUGGUGGGAACUCAUGGAAGACUGCCGGGGUCAACUCGGAGGAAGGUGGGGAUGACGUCAAAUCAUCAUGCCCCUUAUGUCUUGGGCUUCACGCAUGCUACAAUGGCCGGUACAAAGGGCUGCAAUACCGUAAGGUGGAGCGAAUCCCAAAAAGCCGGUCUCAGUUCGGAUUGAGGUCUGCAACUCGACCUCAUGAAGUCGGAGUCGCUAGUAAUCGCAGAUCAGCAACGCUGCGGUGAAUACGUUCCCGGGCCUUGUACACACCGCCCGUCAAGUCAUGAAAGUCGGUAACACCCGAAGCCAGUGGCCUAACCCUUGUGGACGGAGCUGUCUAAGGUGGGAUUGGUAAUUAGGACUAAGUCGUAACAAGGUAGCCGUACCGGAAGGUGCGGCUGGAUCACCUCCUAAGGGCAGCUUGGCGUAAUU